GUCUCUUUGAGUGUUAUUAAUGAAGAGUUGGGCCUGCUCAGUGAGAAGAAAAUUUAACAGCUGCGGUAUUAUAACUGUACUAAGGUAGCAUAAUAAUUUGCCUUAUAAAUUGAGGCUAGAAUGAAUGGUUUGACGAAAAUUAGACUGUCUUUGUUUUAUUUAUUAGAAAUUAAUUUUUAUAGUGAAAAAGCUUAAAUAAUUUAAAGGGACGAGAAGACCCUAUUGAGCUUGAAUUUAUUGGUGUUUAAAUAUAAAGAUGGGCUGUUUUAUUUAUAAGAUGGUUUGUUUUAUCUUAAUUAUAUUUAAUUAAGCUAAUUUUGAUUGGGGUGAUCAAGGAAUAAGAAGGUAUAAUAACUUCCUUAGUUUUAAAAAUUUAUGGAUUAAUAAACCAAAAUUUUUGCUUAUAAGAUAAGUUACCAUAGGGGUAACAGCGUAAUUUUUUUUGAGAGUUCAUAUUGAAAAAAAAGAUUGCGACCUCGAUGUUGGAUUAAAAUUACCUUAAGGUGUAGAGGCUUUAUUGGGUAAAUCUGUUCGAUUUUUAAAAUUUU
rnacentral:rRNA from 1 species